AGAGUUUGAUCAUGGCUCAGGAUGAACGCUAGCGGCAGGCUUAACACAAGCAAGUCGAGGGGUAUAGUAGCAAUACUAGAGACCGGCGCACGGGUGCGUAACGCGUAUGCAAUCUACCUUUUGCAGGGGAAUAGCCCAGAGAAAUUUGGAUUAAUGCCCCAUAGUAUAAUGUCUUGGCAUCGAGAUAUUAUUAAAGUCACAACGGCAAAAGAUGAGCAUGCGUCCCAUUAGCUAGUUGGUAAGGUAACGGCUUACCAAGGCGACGAUGGGUAGGGGUCCUGAGAGGGAGAUCCCCCACACUGGUACUGAGACACGGACCAGACUCCUACGGGAGGCAGCAGUGAGGAAUAUUGGACAAUGGGCGCAAGCCUGAUCCAGCCAUGCCGCGUGCAGGAUGAAGCAUCUAUGGUGUGUAAACUGCUUUUGUACGAGAAGAAACACUGCUUCGUGAAGCAGCUUGACGGUAUCGUAAGAAUAAGGAUCGGCUAACUCCGUGCCAGCAGCCGCGGUAAUACGGAGGAUCCAAGCGUUAUCCGGAAUCAUUGGGUUUAAAGGGUCCGUAGGCGGGCUAGUAAGUCAGUGGUGAAAUCUCUCGGCUCAACCGGGAAAUGGCCAUUGAUACUGCUAGUCUUGAAUUAUUAGGAAGUAACUAGAAUAUGUAGUGUAGCGGUGAAAUGCUUAGAGAUUACAUGGAAUACCAAUUGCGAAGGCAGGUUACUACUAAUGGAUUGACGCUGAUGGACGAAAGCGUGGGUAGCGAACAGGAUUAGAUACCCUGGUAGUCCACGCCGUAAACGAUGGAUACUAGCUGUUGGGGGCAACUUCAGUG
rnacentral:rRNA from 1 species